GAGCAUAACGCUUAAAACUCUAAGGNNNNGGCNGUGCCUUAAACCCCCCUAGAGGAGCCUGUUCUAUAAUCGAUAAUCCACGAUCCACCUCACCAUCUCUUGCCAGUACCGCCUAUAUACCGCCGUCACUAGCCUACCCUAUGAAGGAUAUAAAAGUAAGCAAAACAGCCAACAAUAGCUAAUAAGUCAGGUCAAGGUGUAGCUAACUGAGAUGGAAGAAAUGGGCUACAUUUUCUAAACUAGAAAUUAUCUCACGGAAAGAACCAUGAAACAAGUUCUACAAGCAGGAUUUAGCAGUAAACAAGGAUUAGAAUGCCCAAUUUAAGCCGGUCCUAAGGCACGCACACACCGCCCGUCACCCUCCUCAAAUCAACAUCACCUAUAAAUAAAACCACAACAAAUAAACAGAUGAGGCAAGUCGUAACAAGGUAAGUAUACCGGAAGGUGUACUUGGAACAUU
rnacentral:rRNA from 1 species